AGUGAACGCUGGCGGUAGGCCUAACACAUGCAAGUCGAACGGCAGCACAGUAAGAGCUUGCUCUUACGGGUGGCGAGUGGCGGACGGGUGAGGAAUACAUCGGAACCUACUUUUUCGUGGGGGAUAACGUAGGGAAACUUACGCUAAUACCGCAUACGACCUACGGGUGAAAGCAGGGGAUCUUCGGACCUUGCGCGAUUGAAUGAGCCGAUGUCGGAUUAGCUAGUUGGCGGGGUAAAGGCCCACCAAGGCGACGAUCCGUAGCUGGUCUGAGAGGAUGACCAGCCACACUGGAACUGAGACACGGUCCAGACUCCUACGGGAGGCAGCAGUGGGGAAUAUUGGACAAUGGGCGCAAGCCUGAUCCAGCCAUACCGCGUGGGUGAAGAAGGCCUUCGGGUUGUAAAGCCCUUUUGUUGGGAAAGAAAAGCAGCAGGUUAAUACCCCGCUGUUCUGACGGUACCCAAAGAAUAAGCACCGGCUAACUUCGUG
rnacentral:rRNA from 1 species